rnacentral:lncRNA from 1 species
GGUCAGCAGACAGCUCUGUAAUUGUUUUGAGGAUGACAUAAGUUUUUUUUUUUUUUUUUAAUGUUAGCAACAUUAGACAUUUCAUUUUUUUAAGGUCCUUUUUGCUCUCUCUAAUCUCAUAUAUAUGGAAACAUGGGAAACUGAUAUAUUCUUAGACUCCAGGAAACUCACUACUCACUAGCAAUGACUACCCAGAUAUUGAUCUUAAUGGCUCCACAGUUCAGAAACAACCCAAAUGAUCUGCAUACAAGAACAAAGCUCAGUGUUGCUUACAUGAAGGAAACUGCUUGAUUUGAUUAAGAAUCAUGGGACUUGAUGCAGGUUCUUUGAAAAACACGGUAAUAAUUUCGAUGUAGCAUUUUGGGAGAAUUAGAAGGAAAAUAGUUUAAUACUCUGAGACCCACCCCUGGUUCCUAGCAUUUGACUUGAUUUAAGUUUCAACUUUAACCCCGCUGAAGAGCACCUUUGGCUAUCAGCGUAUUAUUAGAAUUCUGGUUUGGGCCUACAUGUUUCCUUUGUUUUUGCUGCUAUUUCAUACACUACCACCCUGAUUUUGCUGGUCAGCAUCUUUAUUUAGCAAUGUUACAGUAUUGCUCAGGUUUUUUGACUGAAGUUAUAAAAAAUACAUUCCCAUUGCAAAGAAAAGAAUCUAACCAUCCAGUAAAGUCAAACAGCACAUCUUAGGCAUGUUGCAUUCAAUCUCAUUUUAUCCCUUCUUCCAAUAGUGCCACCAUCUCUCCCUUGGACUGCUGGGGACAGCUGCCUACCAUUCUCCCUGGGGCCUCUCAGACACGGGCUUUUGAUUUUCCACACAGCAGCCAGAGUGAUCUGUUCAAAUCUAAUCAGAUCAUGCUGCUUUUGCGCUCAAACACUCCCAGAGCUUCCCACUGCACUGAGAUGGAACCUAAACAAUCUUGAGAUGAACAGUCCCCUCCUACUCUCUCUCCUCACUAUACCCUCGUCACACUCACCUUCUUGCAUUUCCUUGAGCUCACCCACACUUUCCUGACCCAGGGUCACUUGCCCUCACUAACCUAUAGUUUGGAAUAUUUUCCUAUUCAAGUCCCUGUUGAAAGAGGCCUGCUUGUCAAAACAGCACCCCUAUCACUGGUUCAUCUCUUAUCUUGCUUAACUUUUUCUUAAUAGCAUUCAUUAUGGAGACUGUAUUUCUUAUUUGUUUGUUAUUUGCUUCCCUCCUAGAAUAUGAAUUCCAUGAGGGCCAGGACUUGUUUAUAAUUAUAUUCCCAACACUGGGCCACCCAGUACCUUGUAAGAGGAAGCAUUAAACAUUGACUGAAUGAAACUCACCCCAGAAAAGUAACUACCAUUAACACUUCAAUAUAGACCCUUCUAGGUAUUUUCUACAUAUACACAAACUAUUUUUCAGAAAUAAAUGUUUUCCAUGACGUUACUUUCAGAAUUUCUAAGUAUAUGACAUAUGUAUUUUCAAAUACUCUUCACCUAGAUUUCCUGGAGCAGAAAUGCCCAAGUCUCACUCUAGCCAUUUCAGACUAAGUCUUCUAUCUCUGUCCAUGAUUCAGACUUUUACCUACCAUCUUCCUUUGGACCUGCUCCGUUUCCUUUUGAUGGUCAGCUUCAUCAAUAUUUUCUGUCUCUUUUCUAUUUCCUGUUGAUAUGCUUAGAUCUUAGUGUUAAGAAAAAAAAAAAAACACACAUCUGUGCUCAAAUUCCUUCUCCCCUCUGCUAUUUUAUCACCUUUCUUCUUGUAACUAUAAGACCUGGAGACAGUAUCCUACAGUUUUGGUCUCCUCUUUCCCACAGUUCAACUAUUCCAUAAGUCUCCCUUAAACUCUGCCUUUUCCCCAUAGGAUUCGAAUAAAACUGUUUUCUAAGCUCACCAAUUACUUUCUAAUUGCUAAACCCAAUAGCUUUUCCCAGUUUAAUUUCCUAGAUUUCUGAUGAGCACCUAAAAUAAUCACUAUGAUGACGAUUCUUUUCUGGCCUCAUGGUAGACAUUGUACUGUAGGAUGGCCACCAUUGAAUGAGCUUCACCACACCUCACCUCUGUGAAAUGAGUAAUCAGUUGCUUCCAGGUUGGUUCACUCUUUCUUGGAAAAGUAGUAAAAUCUAGCUAGUCACAAUCAAAACCAUCUUAUUCACAAUUCCCUAGAAUUUGGAAACAAUUCUGCCAAAAAGGACAAGUAUCAGGCACUUGAACAAAACUAUAUGAGCAGCAACUUUCCAUUUCUUGUGGUAAAGACUGAUUCUAUUGAACCUUCUAGUUCAAGUCUUCAAAGGUUUUGUAGUUUAUCUGUCCCCAUCCCAUAAACACUGUCCAGUAGUAAGACCUAACUUGUAUCCUAGCUACUUGGACUCUGCUUCCUGUUUUGUUUCUAUUGGCCCCUGUUUGCUGUGGCCCCAGUUUCCCCUUCUGGCUUUUUCAUUUUAAGUAGAUUCCACUGUUACACACAGUAUGCAACUGAUUAUUACACUAAUCCUGAAUCUGUGUCCACCAAGUGUUUCCCUAGAUUUCAUCUCUUCAAUCCUAGAUGCCUGUACACAUCUGAAUCUCCAACUAAUGUUUUUUUGAGUGCAUGGAAUCUGACUGUCUUAUUCGUGGCUGUAUACCCUUUGUAUGACUGCUAUCUGGCCUUUGGUAGAUGCUAAAUAGAGGGUUCUAAAUAAGUAAAUAAAGAAGUGAAUGCACUAAAGUGAAUCUGCCAUUUUUCUGUUUGAAAUGUGUUUCUGUUUUUCUGCUUACUCCUAGAAAGCAGCACCGCAUGCUCAGCUUCGCUAAGCUUCUGCUCGCAUGUGGCUUAUUUUCCUUCCCUUGAUUCAUUUCUACUUUUAUUCCCCAUAUUCAGCAUAGACAGCUUCAUCCUGUGAGGUCCUCUAAUUCCCCAUCAAUGCUGUUUCUCUGUCAAUGAGUCUGGAAAUAGAAAAAGUGACACCUAUUAUUACUAAGGAUGUCAAAAAAAGGAUGGCUUCUUGCAUUAUUGGUGGAAAUGUGUAGUGUUACUGCUAUGGAAAACCAUCAGAUGGCAUCAAUUAAAAUUGGAAAACACACUCUCAAACCAGUGGUUGCAAUGUGGGAAUCUCUGCCAUAAUAAUAAAAGUGGUAAUACCUAAGAUAUCUAUAUAAAAGGGUAUUUAUUGGAGCACUGCUUAUAAUGGUUCAGAAAGCUGGAAAUAAAUGCCCAUCAUAGGACAAAUGAUUUAAUAUGUGAUCAUAAGUCCAUAUCAUGGUAUGACCUUGAAUACAUACCAUAGCAGAUGACUUGAAGGGAUUGCUGAAUGAGAGAAGCAAGCUGUAGAAAAGCUUACAUAAGAUGUUAUCACUUCUAUAAAAUGAAAUAAUUACCAGCUCUUCCCAAUAUAGAUAUAGAUGCAUGUAGAUAGAUAGUUUUUAUUGAAUUAUAUGACUACAGAGAAAAAUAUAAACUAUUAUUAGCUGUGAACAUUGAAGCACGGGUAAUCUGGGGUAUGAACGGGCUUGAGGACAGUGGCACUGAUGUGAGCAGAGAAGGAAAGUGAGAGGAAGGAGGGAAUCAGGUCCUCCUGACAAAAAAAGACUGCUUUUAAAAAGCACAGAAAUGUUCACAUUUCUAUAAAAAUAUCAGCAAAUAUUUUGGCAGUUCUUAUUCUAUACCAGGCAUUGUUUUAGUGCCAAAUAUAUUAAAUUUAUUUAAUCUUCUAUCAACUCCAUGAAGGAGCUACUAUUAUAAACCUCACUUUUAUGGAAAAUGAAAGUGAAGCACAAGGAAGUUAAGAGACAAGCUAAAGUGGCACAGCAAGAAAGUGGUAAUUUGAAUUGGAAUCCAUACAGUGUGGUUUGAGAGACCACAUUCUUAACUGUAUGCAAUGGUGCCUCUUAGGGUAUAUGCGGUAUAUAAAGAAAAGAAGUAAUUCAUAAAGAUGCAUAUACAAAGUGGUAAUUAAAGGAAUAAUAUGGCUUUUACAUUGUGCAUUUUAUUAAACCAGACUACUCUUUUCCUUUAUUUGGAACUGAUUACAUUUUUUAAAGUUCUAUUUAAUAUGAGCUAAUAUUACUAUGCAGUUCUGUCUCCUGGAUUGUAUUGGCUAUACCUAAACUGAUCUUGGUCCCAAUAGUCAUCACAAACUAAGUAUUAAGAAUCUCAUUUCAAGAGCUGUUGAUAGAAGAAAUUAACUACUUGUUACAAGUGCUUUUUAGAUAUGAUUCACUUCUGCAGUGAUCUAUGGAUUAUCUAAAAGUUCUUUUUGGCCAGAAUGAAAGAAAUUUCUUAUGAUUAGUUUAAAAAUCUACAAUAUGUUACCCUCCAUUUGGUGGAGAGAGAUCUAGGUGAAGGAAAUAUUACUCUCCAAAAAUGAAAUUAGUAAAAAUCAAUAUAUAUAACUAUCGCAAGAAACGACUUGCUUACUACAAGAAAAGAGCUUGGGGCUUGAGCCCUAUCCUUUAUCCAUCUUUCCUCCACAAUUUGACAUCUGUGAGCUGCAAUGCCUCACAGCGAAAGGCCUCUGACCAUGGAACUGUCUGUCUUUAAAGAUACAUCUUGAUGUUGACAUGCAUCAAAAUGCAUAUUCAGGCUUUAGAAGAGUGAUGCCUAAGGUGAUUCUAAAUGAUGGAAUGGAAGAGGGACAAAAUGAAAGAUUCUUUCAUUCUUAAAUAGAUUGAGUAUGCAUCUGAAUGCCUAGAGGCAAACUCUGAUUGACAGAGAAG